UCUGUUCUAGGAAAUUACUUUAAAUUUUAGUCUUCAGAGGAAGCAAAAGACAUACUUCAUAAGUACAAAUGAUCUUCCUAAGUACAAAAGAUACGGUGGUACCAUGGUUCAUGAACGUAAUUUGUUCCAUGAUUCUGGGGAAGAUGGAUGUGGUCAUAUUCAUCACCAGACGCAAAGUUCAGGAAAAGUUGAAAGUGAGGAAUAUAUGGAAAAUUAUUUGAAUUGCAAUUGUGGUAGAAGGAGCCUGAAGCAGAAGUAUCACAAGUUUGAGUCCCACUUGGGCAACUUACCAAGACCCUGACUAAAAAAAAAUAAAUAAAAAUAAAAAGGACUGGAAUGCUGCUUAGUGAGAAGACCUUGAGUUCAAUCCCCAGUACCACAAAAAGGAAAAUGAAGAAUUACAGUUCCCUAGUCCACAAACCUGAUGGGAGAAGCCCAAGUGAUUCUAAUCCAGCACCUCUGUGGAGGGAGGGAUCGAACUCCAGACCUUGUGCUUGCGAGGCAGGCUGAAGAACCACUGAGUUAAAUCCCCACCCCCUAAAGAUGGUUUUGAAAAAGGAAUUCUGCCAGAUGAGCAUGACCUAGGGCACCAUACAUUCUCUGUAACACAGAAAUCAACAAAUAUUUUUAUUCUUAACAAUUCUUUAGCAAUGUAAGGCUAGGAAGAACAGCUAUUUUUAACUUAUCCUAGAAGAGUAGAGUAGCAUUUCAUUAUACAAAUAUAUCCAAUAUGUUUUUCAAUUCUAUUAUCA
rnacentral:lncRNA from 1 species